rnacentral:rRNA from 1 species
UGUCCUACGGGGGGCAGCAGUGAGGAAUAUUGGUCAAUGGUCGGGAGACUGAACCAGCCAAGCCGCGUGAGGGAUGAAGGUACAGAGUAUCGUAAACCUCUUUUGUCAGGGAACAAAGGCGGGGACGCGUCCCCGGAUGAGUGUACCUGAAGAAAAAGCAUCGGCUAACUCCGUGCCAGCAGCCGCGGUAAUACGGAGGAUGCGAGCGUUAUCCGGAUUUAUUGGGUUUAAAGGGUGCGCAGGCGGCGUGUCAAGUCAGCGGUAAAAUGUCGGGGCUCAACCCCGGCCGGCCGUUGAAACUGGCG